AACUCUCAGCACACUUGUUCAUCUAUAUUACUUAUUUACUUCUGUGUGUUGAGCCCAAAUCUGCCAACAUGUGACUUCCAUCCUUUGAUCUCAUUUUCUGGGAGCAACACAAAAAAAAUGUGGCUUCCUUGAAAGUUCUUCAUGUAUUUAAAGAUCACUCUCAAGCCUGCAGUCAACCUGGAGUAGGCAGAUGAAGCAGCUGGGGAAAAGACCUCUUGACCUACCAACAAACAGUCACUGACACUGUCAAGUUCAGAGGUGGUGAGAGACACAGAUUGCAGGUAUCUUUGUAAGUUCCAAUUCGUCCCCCACACCAGGUUCAGCUUGUCUUUACUCUCCCCUGAGUCACUUCGAGUUUGGUUCUACUGAUCUACAGGAAGCUUCUUCCCACCACUGAAUUCAAGGGACAGUCUUCCCAUAUGUCUUUACCAGCUCUCGCAAAUGAAGACAGAGCCUGUCUAUGUCAUUCAGACUGGCCUCAAACUCCAGGGCUCAACAAAGCCUCCUGCCUCAACUUCCCCAGUAGCUGGGACUACAGGUUUUAUCAUCUGAAAGAUUCCAGAGAAGCCCAGUGAUCCUGAAGGGUACUGGCAGCCACAGUAUCUGAAAUGCUGUGUCUGAGGACCAUCUUCCCCUGACAUUGCAGAAUACCUAGGACAGAGCAACUGUUUCCAGGCCUACUCUUAUCACAGUCUCCUUGGGGACUUUUAAAAAUCCAGGCCUUUGGACUUAAUGAUUCAGAGUUUCUGGGGCUGGACACCUGCUAGCUCCGUGCUUCAGUCACUCCCCAGCAAAUAUCUUCCACUGAGAUCGUGUGGUUUUAAUCAUACAAGGAGAGUGGCAGAAGAACAGAAAGAUUGAAACCAAGGACAGAGAACACCUGAAAUUGGAAUGGCUUCAAAUGUUCAGUGGAAGUGAACAAGUUCUUGUAUUGUUUUCUCCUAUUCUCCUUCCAGCUUCAGGGUCAUAUGUCACAGCGCUGGGCAUUUCAUUUGGGUAUCUAUCAUCAUUCCCAUUCUGCAAUGAGGAAAUGCUGUCAGAGUGAUUAAGUAAUUUGCCCAUGGUCUCACAUAGAAGCCUGUCUUCUCCAGGGAACACAGCACUCAGAAUCGUCUCGGCCCCUGCAUAAGCCUGCAUGAGCCUGGGCUCUGGGGACCCAUCCUGGUGCAUCAUUCGUUGGCUCUGUGACAAUGGGCACAUCGUUUAACCUCUCUUGGCUUCAUUCUCCUUACUGGAAUGAUGGAGAGAGUUUUGCCUAUUUCAGAGGCUUGCUCUUCUAUACGUGAGCCUAUAAGUAACUUGUCUUAAGAAUUUCCACUCCUUCUGUACUCUGAUUUAAAUUUGAAGGCAUCAAAACAAAAACAAUCAAGAUUUCAGAUUCCAAAUACUUUCAUUUUCAUUUUUUAUUUUGAUUAGAAUUUCUUCUGAAUGAAUUUCUGUUUUGUAAUUUUAGCAUUGCCCUGAGGGGGGGAAAAGGCAGUUUAUCACCAUGCAGUAUAUUUUUCAGACAGCCUCUCUUUGACAAACUGAUUUUUGUCAGUCUCAACUGACUCACCAAUUCCAAAUCCCAGGGCUUCCCUGGGAAACUUCCUUGGAUCAUGGCUCUGCCACACAGGACCGACAUCCCAGAGGCCAAAGCAACCUGCUAUAAACUGAGAUCAUUGCUCAGCAAGCUGGUACCACAUGCAAGGAGUCUCAAGAGCUAACAGGAAAUGAUUCAAGACCAGAAUUACCCAGAACAAGUGUGUUAGCUUCCUCUGCGCAUGGGAUAAUAAGGAGCUUGCAUCACCAACCUUCCGUGAAUAGCCUACUCAGUGAUUCAACAGGUUUCAAAAUUGUGAAA
rnacentral:lncRNA from 1 species